rnacentral:rRNA from 1 species
AGUGAACGCUGGCGGUAGGCCUAACACAUGCAAGUCGAACGGCAGCACAGUAAGAGCUUGCUCUUACGGGUGGCGAGUGGCGGACGGGUGAGGAAUACAUCGGAAUCUACUUUUUCAUGGGGGAUAACGUAGGGAAACUUACGCUAAUACCGCAUACGACCUACGGGUGAAAGCAGGGGAUCUUCGGACCUUGCGCGAUUGAAUGAGCCGAUGUCGGAUUAGCUAGUUGGCGGGGUAAAGGCCCACCAAGGCGACGAUCCGUAGCUGGUCUGAGAGGAUGAUCAGCCACACUGGAACUGAGACACGGUCCAGACUCCUACGGGAGGCAGCAGUGGGGAAUAUUGGACAAUGGGCGCAAGCCUGAUCCAGCCAUACCGCGUGGGUGAAGAAGGCCUUCGGGUUGUAAAGCCCUUUUGUUGGGAAAGAAAAGCAGCAGGUUAAUACCCCGCUGUUCUGACGGUACCCAAAGAAUAAGCACCGGCUAACUUCGUGC